rnacentral:lncRNA from 1 species
CCCAGUCUUUGGUCAGAGGUGAAGAAGAGAUGACAUCCUCCACACCAUCCUCCUGCUGCUCUCAACAACCAUCAUCGCUGUGCUGGACAGACUGCAGCACCCACCGGGACCCUUCUCUCAUGGACUACACAAACAUGUGUUUUACCUGCUUGUGCCCCAGAUGUCCUGAAGCAGCUCUCAAGGACCACCAGACAUCAGGCUGAAGCAGAACUGAUGCUGUAGUACCUGUCACUCACUGGGCUCGUUCCUGCUGAACCUCCAAGAAAUAAACCCCUCUUCAAGAAAGUCUGAGGUAAUGUCUUGGUGAACUUGUGUUCAUUUAUUUUUUCUUAGUUAUCUUAGCUGCUGUAUUAAUGCUUGUGAUGCUAUUGUACAGCUCUGCUGAUACCAUCGUCUUUAACUGCAGUGUUUUCUCCCAGGUCUUCUUAAAGCCAGUUAAGAGAGGAAGAACAGCUUAGACACUCAGACAGCUGAACACACCAAAGGUGGACAUCAUGCAGCCACCCUGAG